CUGGUUGUUAACCGCAUGCACCACGGACAUGUUGUCCGAGAAAAAAAAACCUUCCAGUCCCGCAAGCUAUCCCCCCACAGAGCCAACGCCACCACCAACGGGAACAAUCCCAGGAAAGCCAAGUUACGCCACCGGCCACUUUUCCGCGCACCAUCUCCCACCGAAGUAGGUCCCAAACCCCACGCUACCAGAUGCAUCAGUGAACAGCUCCAGUUCGGCCGCUGACACGUCUUCCUGCCGGAAGAACACCAUCCGGUUGAAAUCCCGUAAGAAGGUGUCCCAUACUACCAAGUCCGCCCGC